GCCAACCCUUCCCCGACUCUUCCACGUGCAGAAAUCACCGAGUCUUCCUCCUCCGCGACUUUAGACACGCGCCAACAAGCCGAGUCCCACUCGGUCGGUUAAGCACGAGGCCAGCUGGGAAGGCGGAGGAGCACGAGGCCCAAGGGAGGGAGACUGCUGCUAUAAAGGGAGCAUGUAGACAGUGGGAGGUGGCACGGUGGGCUUGGAGAGAAUUCCAGCGAAGGA
rnacentral:misc_RNA from 1 species